ACGAACGCUGGCGGCAUGCCUAACCCCUGCAAGUCGAACGAGACCUUCGGGUCUAGUGGCGCACGGGUGCGUCACGCGUGGGAACCUGCCCUUAGGUUCGGAAUAACUCCCCGAAAGGGGUGCUAAUACCGGAUAAUGUCUUCGGACCAAAGAUUUAUCGCCUUUGGAUGGGCCCGCGUUGGAUUAGCUAGUUGGUAGGGUAAAAGCCUACCAAGGCGACGAUCCAUAGCUGGUCUGAGAGGAUGAUCAGCCACACUGGGACUGAGACACGGCCCAGACUCCUACGGGAAGCAGCAGUGGGGAAUAUUGGACAAUGGGCGAAAGCCUGAUCCAGCAAUGCCGCGUGAGUGAUGAAGGCCUUAGGGUUGUAAAGCUCUUUUACCCGGGAUGAUAAUGACAGUACCGGGAGAAUAAGCUCCGGCUAACUCCGUG
rnacentral:rRNA from 1 species